rnacentral:rRNA from 1 species
UACGUAGGACCCGAGCGUUGUCCGGAUUUACUGGGUAUAAAGGGUGCGCAGGCGGCCGUGUGCGUCAGAGGUGAAAUCUCCGGGCUUAACCCGGAGGGUGCCUUUGAUACGGCAUGGCUUGAGUCCGAGAGAGGGUGAUGGAAUUCCUGGUGUAGCAGUGAAAUGCGUAGAUAUCAGGAGGAACACCGGUGGCGAAGGCGGUCACCUGGCUCGGCACUGACGCUCAGGCACGAAAGCGCGGGGAUCAAACAGG